rnacentral:rRNA from 1 species
GAUGAACGCUGGCGGCGUGCCUAACACAUGCAAGUCGAGCGAUUCUCUUCGGAGAAGAGCGGCGGACGGGUGAGUAACGCGUGGGUAACCUGCCCUGUACACACGGAUAACAUACCGAAAGGUAUGCUAAUACGAGAUAAUAUGCUUUUAUCGCAUGGUAGAAGUAUCAAAGCUUUUGCGGUACAGGAUGGACCCGCGUCUGAUUAGCUAGUUGGUAAGGUAACGGCUUACCAAGGCGACGAUCAGUAGCCGACCUGAGAGGGUGAUCGGCCACAUUGGAACUGAGACACGGUCCAAACUCCUACGGAGGCAGCAGUGGGGAAUAUUACACAAUGGGCGAAAGCCUGAUGCAGCAAUGCCGCGUGAGCGAUGAAGGCCUUCGGUCGUAAAGCUCUGUCCUCAAGGAAGAUAAUGACGGUACUUGAGGAGGAAGCCCCGGCGUAACUACGUGCCAGCAG